rnacentral:rRNA from 1 species
UCAACAACGGAUCUCUUGGUUCUGGCAUCGAUGAAGAACGCAGCGAAAUGCGAUAAGUAGUGUGAAUUGCAGAAUUCAGUGAAUCAUCGAAUCUUUGAACGCACAUUGCGCCCCUUGGUAUUCCAUGGGGCAUGCCUGUUCGAGCGUCAUUUGU